rnacentral:rRNA from 1 species
UACGUAGGGUCCGAGCGUUGUCCGGAAUUACUGGGCGUAAAGAGCUACGUAGGUGGUUUGUCGCGUUGUUCGUGAAAACUCACAGCUCAACUGUGGGCGUGCGGGCGAUACGGGGCAGACUGGAGUACUGCAGGGGAGACUGGAAUUCCUGGUGUAGCGGUGGAAUGCGCAGAUAUCAGGAGGAACACCGGUGGCGAAGGCG